AUUGAACGCUGGCGGCAGGCCUAACACAUGCAAGUCGAACGGUAACAGGAAGAAGCUUGCUUCUUUGCUGACGAGUGGCGGACGGGUGAGUAAUGUCUGGGAAACUGCCUGAUGGAGGGGGAUAACUACUGGAAACGGUAGCUAAUACCGCAUAACGUCGCAAGCCCAAAGAGGGGGACCUUCGGGCCUCUUGCCAUCGGAUGUGCCCAGAUGGGAUUAGCUAGUAGGUGGGGUAACGGCUCACCUAGGCGACGAUCCCUAGCUGGUCUGAGAGGAUGACCAGCCACACUGGAACUGAGACACGGUCCAGACUCCUACGGGAGGCAGCAGUGGGGAAUAUUGCACAAUGGGCGCAAGCCUGAUGCAGCCAUGCCGCGUGUAUGAAGAAGGCCUUCGGGUUGUAAAGUACUUUCAGCGGGGAGGAAGGGAGUAAAGUUAAUACCUUUACUCAUUGACGUUACCCGCAGAAGAAGCACCGGCUAACUCCGUG
rnacentral:rRNA from 1 species